rnacentral:sRNA from 1 species
AGACGUGACAGUGACCUGGCUAUGCCAUCUGUCACCCCAUUCAUCACCAGGGUGGAUUCAGGUGAUCUGGCUGACUAGGCAAGUGUCACCUCCUUCCCUCACUGCUCCACAUGCUUCCCUCCCAAAGCCACACAGUGGAUCAAACAAACUGACAACCUUCAUGAUAGUGGAGAACUGUUCAUGUAGCUGUGUUCUCCUGCUUGAACCUCCAAACCAAGUGCUCCACAUCGACCCCCUUCUCUGU